AAGGCUUUAAGUUAAAUAAACUAAUAGCCUUCAAAGCUAUAAAUAUAAGAUAUCUCUUUUAAGCCUUA
rnacentral:tRNA from 1 species